AUGGCCGAGUGGUCUAAGGCGCCAGACUCAAGUUCUGGUCCUCUUACGAGGGCGUGGGUUCAAACCCCACUUCUGAUAUUUAAUUUUUAUUCCCUUUAUUCUGCUUUAUUUCACCAUCUCUAUACUUUUUUUUGA
rnacentral:rRNA from 1 species